UUUUUCUCUCUUUAUCUUGAUCCUUUAUUUCAAGUUUUUAGAAAUUUGCUUUUGGAUUUAUCAUUAUUCCCAUGGGUAUCCCAGUAAAUAGAAUUUAAUCUUCCGAAUCAAAAGGCUUGGUGUUUGUUUUGGUGAAAUUUGCAAACAUGUUAAUUAUUCAAACACCUUGCCUGAAAAUCCUUGGAGAAAUCCCAUGUAAUAUGUGAUAUUUGGGUCAAAAUAUGUUCAUAUAUGUAUUCCUUUUUUGUAGGACCUUGUGACCCCUCAUUAAAAUGAAUCAGAUGACACUUUGUCUAUGAUGAUACAAUAAAUCCCCAUCCACAGGUUGCAUAAGUUUUGCUCACAUGCUGCUUCUAAUGCAGUGAUGCUCUUAUCAUUCAAUGCCAUAGGAUGGAUCUUGUCUAUGUGUGUCCCAAGUACUAGGGUUUGGCACUGAUCGUAGCCGGACUUUAUUUAUAUGUUAGAUCCAUCUGCAGUGAGUGAUUUAGUGCGGUGGAGAAGUGUUCUACAUGUGUUACUGCUUUGUUUAUCAAUUUUCACGGUUAAAGCUCUUGUUGUACAGGAUCCCUUUACCUAACUGGGUUGUGGAAGAGAUCAACAAAGAUCCGGACCUUGCAUACACUGAUCAAUGGGGGAGGAGAAAUUAUGAAUAUGUGUCCCUUGGGUCUGAUACUCUUCCAGUCCUCAAGGGGCGAACACCCGUCCAGUGUUAUGCUGACUUCAUGCGUGCAUUCAAGGACAACUUCAAGCAUCUUCUUGGUGACACCAUUGUGGUAAUUACCUAUCCCUAUCCCUAUGAUUCUCAUAAGUUUAAUGCAAUUAGUACAAGCACAAAGGCUUGUACAAAUUGUGUGCAAGCCCUGCCUAGGUGGUCAAGAGUUUGGCAGUCAGGGCCCAAUUGUUUAGUUUGAAUACAAAAAUUACAGCAGGUUUCAGUGGCUGGUUCAAACUCCUUUAAACUCUAUAGUAUGUGAUGGAAGUGAUCACUAAUCAUCUUAAGAAUUUGUCUCAUUCAGGAAAUCCAGGUGGGGAUGGGACCAGCAGGUGAGUUCCGCUACCCUUCAUAUCCAGAGCAAGAUGGGACAUGGAAAUUCCCAGGCAUUGGAGCCUUCCAGUGUUAUGACAAGGUAUUUCUCUUGUUCUUUUUUCCUUUUUUUUUUCUUCUGAUGAUAUUGCUAAGGCUAAUAAGAUGCAGUUUCCAGUACUUAAAUUGUGCUACACUAUGAAUUUAGCCCAAAAGUAUUAGGUAAUCAGCCCACAAUGUAUAUUGGUUAACAUUCCCCUCAUGAUGCAACCACAUAUCCACACAGGGAGAGGUAAAAUCAAGAUUAUAGAUUAUUACAGAUAUAUAGAUGGGGGAAUCAAUCAAUACUUGAACUCAGUAUCUCUGGUCAAUGCUUAGAUUACCAUAUUAAGCUACAAAUCUGACUUAAAAGGUUUAAACUAUUAACUAAUGGACUCACAAUCUAUACUAUAUGAACACAUUCUCUACAAAUAUGGUGCAGUAUAUGCUCAGUAGCUUGAAAGCUGCUGCAGAAGCUGCUGGCAAACCAGAAUGGGGUAGCACCGGUCCCACAGAUGCUGGCCACUACAACAACUGGCCAGAAGAUGCACGGUUUUUCCGCCGAGAAGGAGGGGGUUGGACCAGUCCUUAUGGUGAAUUCUUUCUUAACUGGUAUUCUCAGAUGCUUCUAGACCAUGGUGAGAGAAUACUGUCAUCAGCCAAGUCCAUCUUUCAGGACAUGGGAGUUAAGAUCUCAGUCAAGGUUUCAGGUAUUCACUGGCACUAUGGGACACAGUCCCAUGCUCCAGAGCUCACGGCAGGGUACUAUAACACACGGUUCCGAGAUGGAUACAUUCCUAUUGCUCAAAUGUUAGCACGCCAUGGUGCCAUACUCAACUUCACCUGCAUAGAGAUGCGUGAUCAUGAGCAGCCACAGGAUGCUCUUUGUGCACCCGAGAAGCUUGUGAGGCAAGUUGCUUUAGCAACUCGGGAAGCUCAAGUCCCACUUGCUGGGGAAAAUGCAUUGCCUCGAUAUGAUGAGACUGCACAUGAGCAGAUAUUGGGAGCAUCAUCCUUGAAUAUUGACGGUGAAGAAAGUGAUAUGUGUGCUUUUACAUACUUGAGAAUGAAUCCAGACUUGUUCCAGCCAGACAACUGGAGAAGGUUUGUUGCAUUUGUGAAAAAGAUGAAGGAAGGGAAGGAUUCACACAAGUGUCGGGAACUAGUGGAGCGGGAAGCAGAGCACUCUGUACAUGUGACUCGGCCACUGGUUCAGGAGGCUGCUGUUGCUCUUAUGCACUGAAAGCUCAAGCUAGGUUUUCUUCUGUGCCUGCUUGGACAGUCUUCUUGUUGCAAAGUGUUGUGUAUGCAACACAAAUAUUUGGAUUCCUUGCCACUUUUCACACUUUCCUAACAUUGUUGUUGUGGAAAUGGGCAAUUUGCAAUUUUAUUAUAUAGAUAUGGGCAUCAGCUGUUUUAAUGCCUGAGCCCUUUUCCUGUGCUGGAUAUGAUGAUAAUAUAAACUAGAUUUCUCUCUUCUCCUCAAAUCAUCUGUUUACUGUUUACUACCAUUUCCUCAACUUGGCAGGAAUUGUUACUUUUGGAGAUGCCGACCCAUUGUGGAGAUACUGGGGCAGAUUUCAUAUCUUGUUGCAGUCAGUAUAAGACAAAUUUAUAUCUCAAGGAUCAUAAUAAUUAAUUGCGACAUCUUAGCGUUGGUUUUUAUUGAAAGCCAACUUUAAUGGCCAGGCGAAGCAGAGGGGACUUCUAUUUUCUAAAUGAUUUUAUUCCCAUUACAAUUUUAGAGGUAUUCUGAAUUGAUAAACUUUAGUGCUCGGAAAAAUUGUUUGGAAAAUUUGAUAGAAAAUGUGAGUGGAAUAAAAUAAAAAUAAAAUUGAAAAAAUUAAUAAAAAAAAAAGUAAAAAAUUUAAAAUUAAUAAAUUAUUUUUAUGUAAUACUAAAAAAAUUAUUUGAUUAAAUAAUUUUAAAAUAUAUAAUAUUUUUAUUAAUUUUAAUUAUAUUUCAUCCUCUUCUAUUUUUUAUAGUAAAAUCAAAUAUAUAAAAAUAUUUUUCUUUUUUCACUUAUUUGGUUCUUCCAUAUAAAAUUUAUAUAAUUUAAAAAUAUAUUUUUUUAUUAAUUUUAAUUAUAUUUUACUUUUUUCUUAUUUUUUAUGAUAAAAUUAAGUAUAAAAAAUUGAUUUUUUUUUAUUUAUUUAAGAUUAAAUAACUUAAAAAUAUAUAAUUUUUUUAUUAAUUUUAAUUAUAUUUAAUUUUCAAAAUGAAAUAUAAGAAAAUCAUUAUUCAAACAAUUUUUCGUGGUUAGUAUUUAUUAGAAAUAAAACAUACCAUAAAAGGAUGCAUCACCAUCACCCGUACCUUCUUUUGGCUCCAGCCUUCAGCCUUUAAGAACCACUCGUCAGUUUAACGGUGCGCCACCCUUGGUUAUUUCAUGGUCCAAAUUUUCCCAAGUGUCCCUACCUGUACCUCUCAUAGAGUUAAUAUUUCAACAGAACUGAACUGAGAAGCCCCUAGCAUUAUCAUUUGACAUAUAAAGUGCACCAAAGCAAAUGCUUCAAAGUCCUGUAAAAAUCAAAUAUCAAUAUAAACAGAUGACCUUCUAUCCUAAAUGUGCCCCAUACCUAACAGAAAUGGACGCCCAUAUAAGAGCCCCUAGUCAGAUUCAGUUACCCAAUGCCCUCUUCAAAUGCAGCAAUUCUCGCUCCAAACCUCCACUUGACUGACACAUGCCCACUUGUCUCCCUUUCAAGAACCCAUAAAAUACUAUAUAUACAUAUCUCCAUAAAGACACCAUUUUCAGAUCUAAUCAAGAAACAAGUCCUAUCCUAGCAAUCAUCUGACAAAACAUGUCCAAUCCACAGCGACAGUGGACGCCCGCCCAUGCCCCCAAUCAAGCCCAGGUAUGCUAGUUGACGGAGAUGGGUUCCACAUUCAUUUACCAUUUGUAACUUUGCUUGUAUCAUUUCUUUUUAUUCACAUUUUCACGUGUAAUGUGAGGAGGCUGGCGCAGAGGGGAUGACCCAAUCGUCUGUAAGUUCAGGAAAUUCAGCCCAGUCCAUAAGGGAGUCUUCCCAACAAGCGGACCAGCCUCAAGGGUUCCUCGAACAGGUUCUCUUUUAGCCUAUAUAACCUUAGUCUAGGCAGUUCAUUUGUAUUAAAUUCAAUGUUGAAAUGGAAUUUAAUUUUACUUUGUUAUCAUGUUCCAUGAUGAUGAUGUUACAGACAGCAGGACAAGUGAUGGAUAUGGCUCACGGGGCAGGGAAAAGGGUGAUGAACGUGGCUCAAGGGGCAGGUGAGACGGUGAUGAAUGUGGCUCAAGGUACAGGACAGACCGUCAUGAGCGCGGCUCAUGGUGCGAGGGAGACCGUCAAGAAAUCGCUUGGAGCUGAUGACAAGGGAAAUUGAAAUUCCUCUGUGUUUUCCUUUCUUUUCCAAAUAAUUUCAACACCCAAAUUGAAGGGUUCUUGCAAAUUUUAUUUAUUUAUUUAUUUUUCUGAAGUUUAAUUUUGUAUCGAUUGUUUUAUUAAUAUUUGAUAAUAAAAAAAAAUUUUAUUGAGACGCUAUGAAUUUAUUUUUGAGAUGUAUCGAUUGGAAAAUAAAUUUUAUUUUUGAGCUUUUUGUACUUUAACAUUUAAAAUAUAAAAUAAGUGUACACAAAUAACAUCAUUAAUAUUGAAAAAUAUAAAAUAAAAAUACAAAUGUUAUAUAUUAAAAUUUAUUAUUUUCUACUUAAUACUCUUAUUUACAUGAAAUUAAAAAAUAUAUAUAUUGAUAAUAAUAUAUAUUUAAACUUAAUGGUAUAGUAUUAUUUCAAUAAAGAUAAAUUUUAAAAAAAUAAUUAUAAAUUAAUAAUUUAUUUAUUAAUAAAUUAAUAAUCUUAAAAUAAUAAAGAUAAAUUAAAAAUAAAAUGAAAAAAAAUGUAGAAAUAUGAAGCACAAAUGUGGUUUCAUUUUUUAAUUUUUUUGCCCUAUUGAAUUUAACACUUUUGAACUUUUUGUACUUUUUAAUUUCACAUUUUUGCAAGUCUUUUUAUAUAUUUUUUAUUUUGUCUUACUUAUUCAUAUAAUUUAUUAAUUUAAGAUUGUUAAACUUAUUGAUAAAUUAAAUAUUAAUUUAUUAAUAUUUUUACAACUAUAUCUUAUUAAAAUAAUAGUACUCUUAGGUUUCCACAUAUAGAUUUUUAUUAUUUUGAAGUAUAUGUUUUUAAUUUCACGUUAAAAGAACCAUUAUUUAUACACUCACAACAUAUAUGCCUUGAAGAUACAUUUUGAAAUUAGUUAAUGAAAUUAAUUUGAAAAGUUUAUUGCAAAAUUUAAUUUUUACUAGCUUCAUUAAAGUAAAAAAAAAAACCACCAAAUAUUUAUAUAGUGGGAAAAAAAAGUAAAUAAUCACACAUGCCUCAACAAGGAGAGAAUCUAUGUAUAACUAAGACUUUCUUCCUUUUUGGUCACUCAUCGAUCUCUAAUCGUAGCAAUUAGCAAACCUACAUAUGACAUGCGAUGAACAUCUAACUAUGAUGGAAUCGAAAAUAGAGGUAGUGGAGGUAGCAUUCUACGUCAACAUUGGCCAUGCCUACCUCCCAAAUGCUUAGGGGUAAAUCUAACUGGGUAGAUAUGAGUCUUUACAGAUAUAAAAACAAAUAUAGAUGGGUCUAGUGGUGGUAGAUAUUUGUGCUAAGGGUAUGAGUGAUGUUAAAACUCGGGUCCUAAUGGAGUAGUUAAGGAAGCAUCAAGGUACAAUGAAAGGUGGUUGACAUAUGAGGUAGCGAUUACUGAAGGUGGUAUAAAGAGAUUAUACGUACUAACAGUGCAUCUAAAGAGGUAGGGUUUUGUACUGAUGUUGGGUCUGAAGAGAUAGGUGAUUGUAUUGAUCAUAGGUCUAAAGAGGUGGGGGGUCGUAAUGAUGUUAGGUUUGACAAAAUGAUAGGUUAACAAUUAAUAUAUCUACCUCACCCUUGAGAUGUCCAUUAACCUCAAACGAGUGGCAAUCAAGCAACUAUGGACUAUGCUAGUGGCCUACCUCCUUCUAUCUCCUCCAUGUUAUAUAUGUGGAAGACAAUACUUCUUUUGAAUUAUUCACAUAACAUCAAUGCACCUGUGAGUAAUAUCAACAAUACCAGUGUGACAAGUAUUACUAUCAAAGUCCUUUAAUGUUUGACCUCCUUGAGAUAUGAUGAUGUCAUUGUUAAAGAUAAAACUUUUAAAAGUAUAACAUGAUGUAAUAAAUUUUGGAUUUUAUUAUUUAUUAAUAAAAUUUAUAUUUUCACUUUUAUCUAUUCUUAUUCAAUGCAUUAACUUUGUAAGCAUUUUAGCCUACACCUCUUAUAUUGUGUGUGACUUGGGUACAUUAGGAGUAAAGAUAAAAAUAUUGGUAAUCACGGAUAUAUCAGUACUUCAAUUUUACGAAUAUAUGAUAUAUAGAAGAUAUAUCGAUAAAUAUUUUGAAUUUUUUUUUUGAUAAGCUUAAAAUUGAUUAGAACUUAUGAAAAUAUUGAGAAAAACUCUAAAAAUGAUAUGAUAAACAAUAAUAGACAUUUUAUUAUAAAAAAAAAUAUGAUAUAUGUAUAUGUGUAGACCCCUCCUUGCAAGACCAAGGGGAUUAUUUUUAUUUUGGCUGCCACCACCCGAGAGAAGGGUGUUUUUGUUUUUUUGGUAGGAUGGGGGGACCCCUUUUCUAAAGAGGGAACAACUUCAUAGACACGGCAAGAGACGUGGGCAGCGAGGAGAGUGGUUGCAAGCCCAUGCUUGCUGACGUGAUGAACAGGAAAUGGAGGGUUGGCUUGCUGAAGAAGACACCAACAGAGGAAUGAAAAGGGGGUUUUGGGAGCUCGGGAGAGGGACGCAGGCUAGAGGAGUUUCUUUUUCUCGGAGAGGAGGCUAAACAGAGGUGGAGGUUUUGUGAGAUCCAAAUAUUUUUGCUCGAGGGAGCAUCCAGGUAAGCUCAUCAUGUAUCCUUUGCUUUAUUUUUUUACCACUACUGUUUUCUCUUUCUCCUAGAGUUGUUCGAGUUCCGCUUUUAUGCUUGUUUAGGAAUAACAAGAUUUAUAUCUGAGUAACAUCAAUUUCUGGUUUCUUCAUAUGCUUGCUGAUCGUUUCAUUCAUGAUCCCUCUUAGUAUUGGUUUUAACCUGGAGAAGUUUUGUUGCUUCAUUUUGCUCUAUGUGGAGAUGUUAAUUGUUGUUGUCUCGUUUGAACUGUUUUGCUACCCGCCACCACCUUUUCUCACUCCUUGUGCGCAUGAAACCCACUGCCCGUUUCCCCAUUGCCAUCCACCAUACCCAUCAACCUAUCCCUCAUGCAUUCCCAUUGCUCUCAUACCCAUCCAUAGCUCUCAUACACACCUCCAUUUCUUCUUGAACGUCACCAAACCCAUUCCCUCUCACUAUUCGAUGCAUAUUCCCCCCAUGCAUGUCGCCACCUUUCUCUCUCUACACCAUGUUCUUCAUGCCCACUUCCUAUCCACAUGCAUGAAGCCAUGCAUGGAACCAUGCAUGCCACCACCCUUCUAUGCCCACCUUACCCAUGCAUGUCGCCACCUUUCUCUCACUAGCUCGUUCCAUGUCACUCAUCCCAUGCAUGCACCCAUAGCCAUCAAACCCAUUGUUUCAUACCCAUUUUCCUUCCCAUCACCCUUUCUCUCACUAGCUCGUUCCAUAUCACUCAUCCCAUGCAUGCACCCAUAGCCAUCACCCCUCAUACCCAUGCAAACCAUCCCUUUUCAUACCCGGCUGCCCACCAUACCCAUGCCAUGCUCAUCCCCAUAGGAAUCCCAAAGCCACCCACCUACAUGCAUGGGAAUCGUGCAUGCAUGGCCACCCCCCAUGGUUGCCAUUCAUCAACACAUACCCAUGCUAACCUCCAUACCCGUAUCCUCCAUGCCCUCAUGUAUAUCACCACCCUCCCAUGCAUAACUAUCCUCCACUUACCCAUUUUUCUUCUUCUUACCACCUUUCUCUCUCUACACCACAUACCCUUCAUGCACUGUUUUCUCUCUCUACACCACCACCACUACCAACCCUCAUUUUCUCACUAACUCACUCACUUUCUACUCCCUACCCGGUUAUCUCUCUACACCACAUACCCAUUUUCCAAAUACCCAUCAACCCACCUUUGCAUGGCCACCUUUCUUGGCCCACUUCCAAAGCCCACUAAACUUAUUUUCUUGCACGAUGGAUUGGAGAACCCCAAGGCCCAUGAGUGCAUUUUGAAGGCCUUUCUCCAUUUUAGGGUCAUCUCAAAGUGCAUUUUGAAGCCCAGGCCCAUGAGCAUCAUUUUAAAUUUUCUCUCCACCUUGGCCCAUUCCUAAAUGCUCCCAUUUGCUUGGUUAUCACCCUUGGCCCAUUUCCAAAGCCCUCAAAUUUUAAAAGUUGAUUUAUGGAAAUCUAGCACCCAAAUAAUUUUAUCUUACAAAUUUUCAUCUUUAAAUAAUCCUUUAAAAAUUCCGAUUUCCAAAUUAAAUUCCCAAUCUCUGAAAUUCCAAUUUUCCAAUUUCCAAAUUUAAUUUCCAAUUUCAAAAAAUUCACUAUUUACGUUCAUCUAUUUAAUUAUUGUUUUCAUUAUUAUUAUUAUUAUUAUUCCACUUAUUUAUUUAUUUAUUUAUUUAUUGUUAUUAAUGUUAUUAUCAUCAUCAUUUUAGUUAUUUAUCUUUAGAAAAAUUCCACCUUCAAAUAAUUUCCAAAAUUCCAAUUUAUGUAAUUUAAUUUUCAUGAUUUCUAAUUCUUAAAUAAUUUCCAAUUCUAAUUUCUUUCAAAAUUUAAUUUCUAAAGUCCCAAUUUUCAUAAUUUAACUUUCAUAGUUUCUACUUCCCAAAUAAUUUUCAAAAUUAUGUUUUCAUUCGAAUUUAAUCCCUAAAAUUCCAAUUCUUAAAUUUAAUUUCCAAAACUCCAAUUUCCAAAUAAUUUUCGAUACUCCAAUUUUCAAACAAAUUUCAAAAAUCCAGUCUUCACUCGAACAGUUUUAAUUUCAUUCCGGUUUUCAAAUAAUCUCAUGUUCCUCUUGGUUUUAUAUAAGCGUGAAUGUCACUUUCAUAAUUUCAGAAUAAUGGAAUUUGUGAGAUUAAUUCAUGCAAGAUCGAUCGGGCUUUGGUGGGGGCCCUACAUACAUGAUUUUAUGAUUGAUUGAUUUGUUUGUCACGCACGAUUGAUUUAUUCCACUCUAUGACAUGCAUGUGAUUAUUCUGUGUUUAAUUGCUAACAUUCGCUUUCAUUGAAGUAAACCGGUUCAUCACUCAGGUACAUUCUUUGUCUCUCCUAUUCAUUCAGUUAUUUUUGUUUUGAGUGAUAUUCAUUUGGUAUCCAUGCUCGAAUUAUUUCUUAAUUGUGCAUUAACCUCACUUUUUGAUAAGCUUAUUGUGGCUCGUCGCCCAGGUACAUAUCUAUUCCCAUUCUGGUAUUUCUAUAUGCAUGCUUUGAUUCUCACGUGUGCAUGAUUUAUUCUGGGUACUCAUUGAUCUACUCGUCCACUGCCAUGAUUGUUUCAUUUUAUUAGUAGAGACCCGACUUUAGGGACUUAGAGGGAUGCUACGGUCUUUACCGUACCUUCCUGAUAAGUAACCUGACCCCCGAACCCGAUCCGGUUUUUCGUAGAUCACCUUUUCCAAAAUAAGGAGUCACACUUAGGAUUUUUCUUUCUUAUUUUGUUUACCAUUUUAAAAAUAAAACAAAAAUAAGUGGCGACUCCAAGUCAUUUUUCUUAAUCAAAUAAAAAUCAAGCUCGCCAUCAAGUGGGAAAUGCAUGAGCCGAAAAUGCGGGGUCCACAAUAUGAUAUAAUUAAUCAUAUUUGAUAAUAAUAUUGUAUGCAUCGAUAAAAAAUAUGAAUUUUAUAAAUAUAUAUUUCUUAUUAAAUUACAUCAAAUAUUAUUUAACAAUAAUACUGUGAUAUUUGAUUAUAACAUAUCUAAUUUUAAAAAUUAUAAUCUAUUUAAUUUCAAUUGUAUCAAAUGAUAUAAUAUAAAUGAUGAUAUAUGUAUAAAUUUUUUUAAUAUUUAUAUAUUUUUUAUAUUUAAUUAAUAUAUAAAGGAUAUAAAAAAACUGUUAAGAAAAUUAUAAGAUAGUUUUUAUAUUUUUAGUAAUCAAUUAAAUGAAAUUUAAGAAUAAAAUAAUUAGAAUUAUUUGUUUAUUAAAAUAUUAUUUUAAUAUUUUGUUUUAUGAUGGUUUUACUAUAUAUUUAUCUUGUGCCCUUAAUUUAACAAAUGGCAAGUUAGCCUAGUGGUCAAUCAAGGCUAUUUGUUUGGUUUUGAGUCCCAACGCCUAUGCCACAAUUUAAGAUUUUUGAGGGUUUGACCAUGCAUUGACCAAACCAUCUGCGUGUUGACCAAAUCGGUAAAAAUCUUAUUUAUCAUCAAUAUCUCGGGCAAAACACGUCUAUUUUUUAUUUUUAUUUUUGGAAAUUUCACCUAUUUGACAUUUUGCCACCCUAUUUUGUUUCCACGACCACUGAAACACAAUAUUUCGAUGAAAUUUCAUCGAAAUUUUUGGAAAUUUUCAUCAUUGAUUAAGAGUAAUACAAAAAAUCUGAGUUACAGAUUCCUUAUAAUUGGAUGACUUGUUCACAACCAAUUUAUGGGUUUAACCAACCCAUUAAAGGUUGUAGUACACUACUUCCUAAUAGGAGGGAUAGUCUUGACUAUUAAGAUGAUGUUCCCAUAAUAAGUGCAUUAGUAUGUAUGAUUACACAUUGAACAAAACUUAUGAUGAGUCAUGACAUAAGACUAUCAAGUAAUCAUGACUUGACCAAGUUAUUUCAUUGUGUUGUCUCUCAGCCUUGAGACAAUAUUGAGUUUGUGUCAAAGUUAGCAAUGACUUUGACUUAUGAAUGAGAUCAUAAAGUAAUUAUAUAUCCUAUAAACUGGGUCAUUAUUAAUGGAAAGUGGUAACAAUAAGUAUUUUCAAUAGAGACACCAUGAUAUCUUAUGGAAUUGAGAUAGUGUUUUUCUUUGGUGUUCCUAAUGAGGUGUGUUUAUAAAAAUUAUGGUCAUAACAGUUCUUUAAGUGGAACUUGACAUAAGCUCUUGCAAAGCUAAAAUAUGUAAAUUGGUCACAAAAAAUGAGGAUCUAAAACUGAAGGAUAGUUGAGGUAGUCUUGAGAGGUUGAUAAUAUCUUUCACCUCAUUGACUACAAACACCAAUUCAUGGAGAGAUUGUAUGUAACAAAUAGUAUGUUACAGACUUGAGCAUUUAGUAUUUCAUUAUAAUAUACAUAGGAUAUUGGAGUCCAUAUGCCAGAAUGAAAAUGAGUCAUAGAGAUUUGGUUUUGAAAAUCUUGUUUAAGAAUUAGGCAUUUGUUUCAAUAAUAAGAAAGUCCAAGGGAUGAAGUAUUCCUAGACAAGGAAGACUUUUAACUUGUUAUUUGACUAUUUUGACUAUGUUUGUAUGAGUUUGAGUCCAAGGGUUGGGAUCUUUCUUAAGCCUAAGAUACAAAAGUUUAAUGAUUGUCCUAAGGUUGAGAUAGAAGUCUAACACAUAGUUACGACUUCUUAAAAAUCUUUGAAGUUGAUUUUUAUCUUUGAUCUCAUCAUGAAAUUUAUUUGCAAAUUCGAUUGACCUUUGAAUGGGUUUUAUCAUUCCUGGGAGUAUUUCAAAUCCUAAGAAUCUCAUCUUGGUUUGAAAUAACUUGAUUUUAAAGGCAAAUACAACCAAACCAUUUUCUUUGAUAGCCCUUUAGAAUAUGUUUAAAUGUUUGAAGUGAUAUUUAAUAGAAUUUGAAAAUAUAAGCACAUCAUCAAUAUAUACUAUAGAAAAGUUAGUAUAAGGAUUGAAGAUGUCAUUCAUUAUAUUUUGAAACUUUGAAUGAGCAUUCUUCAAAUCGAAUGACAUCACAUUUCAUUCAUAAUUCCUAAAUGGAAUAGUGAAUAUUGUUUUAUAUUUGUUUUUUUUUUCAUGAAAUUGGAUUUGCUAAAAUCCUGACUUCAUAUCAAAUUUUGAAAAGAUUGAAGAAUCUUUUCCUGCAUAUUUGGCAAGGGAAUUCAAAGUCAAAUGGUGGUCAAACUUUGUUCCAUCCACCACUCCACAACUCCCUCACAUAAAAAAUUGGAUUACUGUUAAAUUCUCUACAAUUGUUCAAACUUCUUUUCAAAUGCCCUCAAUCAUUCUAGAAUCCUUCCCCCAUUCUCAAAAAUCCUUUUUCUAUUAGUAAAGAUUUCAAAAAUCAUUUUAAAAUGCUUCAACAAAAAGCUACUGAAACAUUGUCUUAACUCAGCUCAGACUCCAAAGAUGAUACCUCUUCAAGCUUCAAAGAAAAUCAAAAUGAAGAUAUGUGUUAUGGAUUGCCAUACACACCUUUGGAGUAAAGGUUUCAAUAAAAUUCAAACAGUUUUCGAACUCCUUCAAAGACGAGAACUUGGCGCUCACAUUAAAUGAAGGCUCUCCUGUGCUACUCUUUACCUUAUGUUCCAAUUAGUCAGGUUCAAGAGUUGGAUCUCCAAAUUACUACAAUCUAUCUAGAAGAUGGACAUCUCAGCUCUCUUUUAGAAGAUCGAACUUCAAAAUCCAUAUUUUUAUAAGAUGUUAAUAUAUUAUAUAUUUAUAAUAUUUAUAAAAUCAUAUGAAUAGCAUUGGAAAUUUAUUAAUUUUGAAUUAUUAUUAUUAUUAUUAUUAUUUAUUUUUAACAAAAUAAAUCAAUUAAUGUUAAUAUAUAUAUUUUAUAGUAUUUAUAAAGAUAUAAUUUAUGAUUUUAUUAUAUUACUAAAAUUCAAAAUUUAUUUAUUUUGAAUUUAUUUGUAAUUAAAAAAUUAUUUUUAUUUUAAAUAAGACAUCAAUUAAAUUUAGUUUACAUUAUAUAAAUUGAAUUUACAAUUUGUGUUUUAAAAAAAAUAAAAAAAUAAAAAAUUAUUUUUAAAAACAAUUUAUAUAAAAAAGUCUUUAAUUUUUAAAUUUUUGAAAAAUAUUUUUAAUAAUAAAGUGUAUCAGGAAAUCAAAAUACCUCCUAUUUGAAAUAAAUUAAAAUCUCACUUAUAAGUAAAAUUUCAUUUUCAUUAUAAUAUUUCAUUUCAGAAUUACAAAUAUGUCUUUUAUGUGGUAAUUUGGUUGGGAUUAUGCUUUGAUAUUCCCAAAGUGGUAUCAUUUGGUAUAAAACUUAAAUUAAUGGCGGGUGAGAUAAAAAUACUUUUUUUUUUUUGUCUUUUUCUCAUUUUCUUUAUUAUUAUUUUUCUUUCAACUUACUCUUUUACCUUGAUAAUAUUAUUAAUUAUUACUAUGAUUAAAACUUUUUAGUAUAUUCUACCAUAAUCAUGAGGUCUAUGUUAUAUAUAUUAUUAUUUUUAAUAUGAAAAUUUAAAUAACCUUUUUAAAUUUCUCCUUUUUAAUAUAUAUGAAAUUAGAAUAAAAUUACUUCUCAUAAAAUUAAAUUAUAAAAAUUUGUAAUAUUAAUUUAUUCAUAUUAUAUCAUUUAAUAUAAUUAAAAAUGUUAAAAAACAAAAAAUUGAAAACAAUAAAAAAGAAUUGAACCAAACAUGAUAGGAUUUGAUUGAGCAAGUAUACGAAUUUCUUAAAUCUACUCAUCUUGUCCUAUUUAUUUAUUUAAUUUUUUGGUAUGGGUUUGAAUAAUAUGGUCAAGCUAGAUGACUCAUAUUGAAUUUACUCCAUUAUCAUCCUAUCAAGUGUGAUAUAAUGAUAAUAAUAAUAAUAAUAAUAAUAAUAAUAAUAAUAAUAAUAAUAAUAAUAAACAUUGUUAUAUUAAAGUUAUUAACAAGAAUAGUAAUAGAAUAUUUAGGUGAAAUUAAUAAUAAUAAAAAUAUUGACAAGAUAAUAAUAUUUUUAUUGAAUAGAAAAAUUAAAAUAUUUGUUAUUUAUGUUGAAUAGAAAAAAUUAAAUAUUUUGAUUUUUUUUUAUUGAGACAAGAAAUUAUAUAAAAUUGAAGGGGCAUGAAAUCAUAUUUAUGAUUUUCUUUGUAAAAAACUUUUUCAUCUCAAAAAUAUUUUUAAGUGGUUCUAAAGGUAGAAACGCUUUUGAAAAUCACUGCCGCUCUAUAAUCCAACAUAGUGAGAAUUCUAAGUGAACGGGUAAGAGAAGCAGGGUCAGACCCGAACCCGAUGCACAAUCUAGAAGUGACCGUUGGGAAAAUUGGCUCCUCUUCUUUCUGACUCCAGGGCCGCCUUCUCCUCCUAACCCAUCAUUCAUUCACUCAUCGUUCUCUCUCUACCCUCCCAUCCCCACCACCUCCUAAAAUUACAGAGCUACCACUGCCUCACACUUCCAUGGCCACUCUCCUACCUCUCCAAUUCCGAAACUGCCCCUCCCCUCCUCCACCCAAACUCCACCGCAGUCACCACCUCCAUGCCCCUACUCUCGCUCUGCGCUCCAAGUCCCGCCUCCUCUCCUCCAUUUCUUGGAAGCUUAGGGUUUUCAGCUCCAUUUAUUGCCUUUGCAAGUCCAAUUCUGAUGUCCAAAGUGUUUCGGGUCAGGAUGAGCUCCAACGCCCUCCCUUCGAUAUCAAUCUCGCUGUCGUCCUGGCCGGUUUCGCCUUCGAAGCCUAUUCCAGCCCACCUGUAAGAAGCCCUUUCUUGGACCCCUGUUUGGUUAAGCAGAAGAGAAAUAUAAGUGAAAAGUUCAAGCCAAUUAUUUGUAGUGGCCAUGUUAAAAUGAUCAACUCUGUUUUUUUUUUUUCCUCCACUCUUUCUGACUGAUCAAACAGGAUGUAGGGCUCUGUUUGGUUGGUGAGAGAAUGGACGAAAAGAAAAGAAUGUGAAAGCCACGCCUUUUGUGUUUUACUUGUUAUCUUGGUUCCUGGAAACGGAAGAGUUCGUUAAUGAUUGGUUGAUUGGGAUUUGGAGGUUUCUUUUCUUGAUUCCCCAGAUAGCGAAAAAACCUACCGCAAUGUUUAUUUAAUUUUUAAUGUAUUUUCCUUGGCAACCACAAGGAGCAGUCAAUUUUUCAUUUUGAAUUAAUUCCAUUUUUAAUUGUUUUGAUUUUUAUUGACUUUGCUUUGGUCAGGAAAAUGUUGGGAGGCGUGAGGUGGAUGCAGCGGAUUGUACGACGGUGUUUCUUUCAGAGUAUGCCAUCUACCUUUUAGCAUUGGCACUCGUAAUUUUGUUGUAUAUGCGUGCGUAUGAAUUUAAUUGUUGUUCUUUUCUCAUACCAAAAUAGAAUUACCUAUUUUUCUACAAAUCUAUAAAGCAGUCGUGACUGGAGUCUGAAGUCAUUGAAAUUUUUUUAAUUUGCUUCUGUGUCCACUUCCCAAAAUUUCAUGUCUAAGGGUGGUUUGCCUCAUGUAAUUUCUUUGACUGAUUACUAACUUCUCCAUGGAGUUCAAAUAUUCUAUAUAUGUUGUUGUUACAUGUCAUGUCUUCCAUCAUAUUCGACUCAACAAGGUCUUAAUAAAAACUAGUUGGAGUGACUGUUGACUGCUUGUUCUCAUUCAGCUCUACCUACAGUUGGUUCUCCACUAAAUCAUUUUCAACAAUGUAUUUAUGUACUUCAAAGUCAUGGUGAAUUUGACCUUCCUCUUGUCUUUGUGUUUAAACUUGAAUCAAACCACUUUUUGAACUUGUCCAUGCAUUGAACUUUGACUUGACCUGAUCACCUUAGAAGAUUUCCCUUCAUCUCAUCCUCACGUGCAGUACCUGCAUCCUUUUCUUAUUCUAUUUUUUCUUGCAAUGGUGCUCAUCCAUCCUAACAUCUUCCCUUUAACAACACUUGUUUUUGUAAAUGUAUCUUAUUGCUCAACAAGUCAACAUUGUGUAGUAUAAAGCUGAGUUGAUCUUUACCUUCUAAGAUUUUCCCUUUUUGAUCUCUACUGUGCCUUAAGUAAUUGAUGCUGCUUACCAACAGUUGACGCUAAUGCUAGGCUUUUUAGGAUAAAUUAAGGUCUAGGAAGCUCUUUGAAGUUUGGAAGUUAGUUAUUUCUACACUUCUUUGUGGACCUCAUGCAUUUACUAGUACCCCUUUGAACUUGUUAGUGCUAGUUUGAAGGUACAUUUGUAAAUUAGAGAAGUUAGGCGGAGAGAUUGGACAUAAGUAGUUUUCAUCUUCUUUGGACUUUUUAAAUUUUAAUUUUGAUGGAUGUUCUUAGUAACCCAAGAUACAGUGCUUGUAACAUUAAAAUGUAGAUUCAAAUUGGAAGAGUGUCUUGAGAUCAUUGAGGUACAGUGCUUGCAACAUUAAAAUGUAGAUUCAAGUUCUUUUUAGCCAAGUUUGGGAUUGAUGUUAAGGUUCUUAUAAUUACUUUUCUAAUAAUUUUUGUAUCACUAAUCUAUUUGGUAAAGUAAAUUAAAAAAUGAUUCUUAAAGAAGCUGACCAACUUUGGUAGCAAUUUGAGACAUAGGUAGAAGGUGACUUUUCAAAAGUGAUUUUCCAAUAAUCAAGGUUUUUAAUCUUACAUUACCUAUUAUACCUUCAAAUCAUUUCCUUUUACAAUUUCUUUAUAUGUUUUUUUCCUCUCUCAUUCUCUACUCUAAAACCUUAUCAAAUUUAUAUCUUAUACCACUCUUUGUAAAAUGUAAAAGAAAAAAAAUUAUAAAUAUGUUAUUUGAAUUUAGUUAAAAUAGAAAAAUGAAUGUAUUCAUUUUAAAAAAUAAAAAUAAAAAUAAAUUGAUUUUUAAAUAAUAAAAUGAUCUAUUUGAUUAAAUAUUGAUUUUUAUAUCAUAAUAAAAGAAAUUGUUUAAAUUUUGACUUUCUUAUUUUGGUCAUAAUGCAUGUUCACAAUAAUUUAAUAAUCUAAUUUAUCAAGCACUUAGAUGUUAAUUUUGAAACUUAUAAUACUUUUUGAAAUCUUUGUUUAUCAAGACUCAAUUAUUUUUCAUCAAAACUAAUUUUUCUUUUGUAUAGAUAACAAUGAUUUUCUCAAAAGUCGUAGCAAUACCAAACUAGCCCUUAAAGGGUUAGUUGCAAGUCAAAACUUUGAGAUUUUUAGAUAUAUAAGUUGAGGGUAACUUAACCAUUAUCACUUUGUUGAACCAUUAUCACUUUGUUAAACUAAAUUUUGAUGGGUUCUUUGAGUAACUUAAGGUGGCUAGGGAUUGAAAGGUUGCUUAGGAACCAAUUUGGCAUAGUGUGGUAAGAGCAUUUUUCAAACUUGUAUGUCAAGGUUUAGCCAUUGAGGUAGAGAUUCUAACCCUUUUCGAAGGGUUGUUCAAACCAAAAUCUUUAAACCUCUCCAAUCUCCUAGUAGAAGGAGAUUAUGCUACUUUCAUAUCAUGGACGAUUAAUAAAGAAAGAGAACCCUCUAAGUUGGAUGAGUUGUUGUGUCAAAUUAUUGAUAUUUCUUUAGAGUUGCAAUGCCUCUUCCCUUGAUAUGCUAACUUACACAAUCAUGUGAUAGAUGUGUUAGUAAAGCAUGGAGCUAGGUUUCCUUUUGUAUUUCAAUGCAAUGAAAUGAGGCCUAUGGAGGUAUGAUAGGUGGAUUUGAUAAAUUAUUGAUGUUAUGAGUGACUCGAGAUGUGUUUUCCUUGGUUUCCAUUUGUUGUUAACCAAAAAGUAGAUUAUUUAGCCAAACAAGGGGCUAGACAAUUAGAUCAUUUUUUUGGUUCCCUUGAGAUGUGUUGUGCUCUUGGGUUGUACAUUAUUUUGGUUUCCUUUAAAAGAUAUAUAGUUUGUUUUGCUUUCUUUUUGAAAGAUAUGCAUAUUUUCUUUCCUUUUCUUCAUUUUGUUUUUUUUUUUUUUUUGUA
rnacentral:lncRNA from 1 species